UUCCUCAGAGAGCACAAGAUAGACCCCGGUACAGUGACCGAACUCGCUAUGUGAAGCGGAGGGAGAAUCAGGCGUACCAGCGGUGAAGGCUCACCUUACCUGCAACUGGCUAGAUGCAUCGACUCCUGCGUUUAGAACAGCAGCUCCUGCACGAGAAAUGCCUUAGAUUUUUUGUAUGCUGCUGCUGUGUAAUCUGGUAAUGUUUUAUGCAUCUGGGCAUGUAUGUUUUGUCUACUUCAAUCGACUAAUCUAUUGAACUAUGGCAUAUGAAUUUGAAGCCCCACUUUUUGGCCAUUUUUAGCAUAGCUCCAGAUUUCAGGUUCACGCUGGAUUUAACGUUUGUAUGUUAAAUUACAGUGUUUUAAAAUUUUAUAUUUCAUUUAAAUAAAAAUAAAAUGAUUUAUUCAAAUGUUAUCAACAUAAUCACAUAUUUAGAUCCAUGAAUUUAUGGAGCUAUAAAUACUUAACUCUAAGAAACUCUUAGAUCCAGAAUUAUGUUAAACAAGGCAUUUAUCUCAUUUUAGAAACUUGGCAUACUUCUUUCGUUACAAAAUAAGUUAAUCCAGUAUUGGAUGCGGCAUAAUUCUUUCGUUCCAAAAUAAAUUAAUUUAGUAUUAGAUGUGACAUACUUCCUUCGUUCCAGAAUAAGUUAAUCAGUAUUAGAUGUGACAUAUCCUAAUACUUGAAUUUGGACAUGUAUCUAUCUAAAUUAGUGGUAAUAUGGGUGUAUAUUCGUUGCUACUAGAUUAACUUAACUUAUUUUUGAACGGAUCUAAAUUAGUGGUAAUAGGGGUGUAUAUUCAUUACUACUAGAUUAACUUAUUUUUGAACUGACGAAGUAGUAAAGAUUAAAGAAAGUUUCAGUUUCUUGUUGCGUGACCCAUGUUGCCAAUGCCAACGGCGACGAGAAUCGCCUAUCGUGCAAAUGCAAUCUGGGACGCCAUGUCAAUUUCGCGUUCUCUGGCCCUGUAUCAACGUGGAACGGUGGGAAGCAAUCGGCGGACGGCCACGGUGGCCAUCGCUCGUGAAUCGUCGUGAUAUGCCGCGAGCGCAACGUGUGGUGGAGGCGGGAAACACCAACGCACGCGAUUCGCCGCGUACGCCAGCCGCCCCCGCCUGCCGAGGACGCCAGUUAACUGCCUGGCACCCGCUCAUCAGGGGACAAAUCCUCAUUCAAUUCACACCAUAAAUCACUAUUUAACCAUCUAUUGCAUCUCAUUCUCUCAUUCGCUCAAUCCUAGUUCCAAGUUACAAACUCAUUUCUGUUUCCGCCGAGGCGAGCGCCCAGAGCACGAAUCGGCGAUGAUGCCGCUGAAGAAGAAGAUGGAUCCAUCGGCGUCGAAUUCGAUCUCCUGUAUGAUACUUUCUAUGGCACAGUUUCCCCUUUUCGUUCUUGGUUCAAUUGUGGAAAACGGCAUCUUUUCUUUCAUGGCAAUCUGAUUAUCUAAGGAUGAGUAUAACCUCUAAUCCUCUAUCAUCUCUUCUUCAGCAUCUCCCUCGGAUAAAAUGGGAGAGCCAGAGGAAAUGGAUGAGGUGGAGCAAGUUUCGUCUGAUCUAAAGUCAUUGAAGACUCUAUAUGGGCUGCUUCACAGGGGUCCGACGGAUGAAACUGUGAGUUUUUCUAAGAACCAGAUUGAACAUGUCGUAUUAUUAUUUUUCUGAAGUGAACAAGAAUAGGAGAAAGCAUAAAUCUGUUUCCAUUUUUCUAAACCGCUUUGGUCAGGCGUUUCUGAAUAGCAGAGCAGCGAUUUAUUUUUCAGUAUCUGCUAGAUGCUCGUGUUUAGUUCAUAUUCUCCUUGGGGAAAUUCGGAAGAAAGAAAAUGCAUGUGUCGAGUUGCUACUAUCACUUCAUGCUCAUAUUAUCUCGACGUUUUACAGUUGGAUGAAACAUCAAGAGCCUUCAUGACGAAGAUGUUAGAUGACAUUACUCGUCAGACACUCCUCAGGCAGGCAAAGGUGAUACAUUUUCGGACCAUUUGGUAAUUUCAUUCAGACAUUGUUUGCAAGAUUGCACCACUCCACCUUCAUCUCGGUUUUAAAUUUUCCCGGCAAAUGUUGAUCCAAAAGAAACAUCGCACGUUUGCAGAUGCUGUCUCCUGCGCUGGAGAGGAAGCUAUCAAUCCAGUCCGAUCAUCGCCGCGACGCGCGGCGACGCCGUGCCGGUGCCGGUGCCGGUCGUGAAGCCGAUAGCCUCGUUCAGCCCCAGCCUCCAUGCCUGUGAGAGAACAAGCCGGUUGAGGACACAAGGCGCGGUGAGAAGACGAGACAGUCGCCAUGGCCGUCUCCUUGCUCGCGUCGCCUCGAACCGCGCGGCAAGAACUGCAGUGCCGCCGCCGGCGCCGAGCCACCGUCAGAGUCUGGAGCGACGCCUUGACCACCUCGCCUCGCACCGUUCGUCCAGAGCCGUGACGCCGCGGCGCGGCACGGUGGCUGCUGGGAAUCCGCGCUCCGACAUGAGGUGGCUGCGCCGUGGCGAUCACUCGUCAAUGGAGCGCGGCGGCGGCAGCAGCAGCAGCAGGCGCCGCUCCCUCUCCCGCGAACCGUCGUCAGCUGUGCAGGAGCGGGGACGGGGGCUGCAUCGCGGCGCCUCGCCGCCGGCGGCACCGCGCGUGGGAGCGGAGGACGGCUCCUCGACGCGCCGUCUCGGGAGGAUGGACUCCGGGUUGUCUGUGAACUUGGUGCCGCCGCCACUGGCGCCGCGACAUGGCUGUCAGCGAGGCGGACGCGGCGCGGCAGCAACGACGAAGCUGUCCUCAUCGACGGACGCGGCUGUCACGAUACGCAGCAGCAUCAGGCCGAGCUCCCGGGAAUUCAUGGAGCGGUCCCCCCGUCGAGCUGGUGAAGCUGAAAACGAUAGGAAGGAAGUUGCCGAUGCUGCCCGGCCAAGCCGUGGUGAACUCUCGUCGAUGGAGCGCGGAAGCAGCAGUCGCCGAUCACUCUCCCGCGAACCGUCGUCAGCUGUUCAGGAGCGUGGACACGGGCCGCAUCGCGGCGCCUCGCCGCCGGCCGCAAUGCGCGUCGGAGCGGAGGGCUCCUCGACGCGCCGCAUCAAGAGGCUGGACUCCAGGUUGUCCGCGAGCAUGGUGUCGCGUCGUGGCACUCCGCGAGGCGGACGCGGCGCGGCAACGCCGAAGCUGUCCUCGUCGACCGACGCGGCUGCCACGACAUGCAGCCGCAUCAGGCCGAACAGUGACCUCACGGAGCGCUCCCUACGCCGAGCUAGUGAAGCUGAUGAAGACGAGAGCCCGCGACAGCGCCGGGGGAAGGGGAAGGAGAAGGAGAAGGCCGAUGACGAUGCUGCCAGCGUCAGCAUGGGCCGGCCAAGCCGGCCGCCGCGGCGAGCUCUGAACCGGAUCAACUCCGGCAGCACGUACAGCAGCAGCAGCCCACCAGAACCGACUUCGAGCACUUCAGGUUACACCUCCUCGUGGGUGCCACCGCGAGACAAAGUGCCGUCAUGGGUGCCACCGCCACCGCGGGGCAAUGCGCCGUCUUGGGUGCCACCGCCACCGCAACCGCGGGGCAAUGCGCCGUCGUGUGUGCCACCACCACCGCAAUCGCGGGGCAUUGCGCCGCCGGAGUACGGGUUUCAAGUGUCAGGCGUGUCGAGGAUCAGCUGCCACCUUCGCCUGGAGAGGAGAGUGGAGCGGAUGAGGAGGUUCAAGGAGAAGCUCGGCACGGUGUUCCACCACCUCCACCACCACCACCACUUCGGUCCCUCGGGCAGCAACGAGGGGGCGCCCCCGCUGCUCAGUCGUGACGUCCACGACAACGGCCUUCACCGCCCGUCGCCGUGGAAGGUUCUCGGCGGUGUCCUCCACCGCGCGACACGCCGUGGGGAGAAGAAGACCAGGAGCGUGCCGGCAGAUCGGCGUGGCGGCGUCGAGCACAUGCUGUUACACAUGUGGGACAAACGGCGGGCGAUGGCGAAGCAGCGUGGCGACGGCGGCGGCGGCGGCGUCGGGCGCGCACUGUUCCAAAUGUGGGGCAAACGGCGGGCGGCGGCCAAGCGGCGUGGCGGCGGCGUCGGGCGCGCGCUGUUCCAAAUGUGGGUCAAACGGCGGGCGACGGCGAAGCGACGGCGUCGGGCAUGCGCUGUUCCAAAUGUGGGUCAAACGGCGGGCGACGACGGCGAAGCGGCGUGGCAGCGACGGCGGCGUCGGGCGCGCGCUGUUCCACAUGUGGGGGAAACGGCGGGCGACCGCAAGCGCUGGAAUGUGGGGUACGGGAAGCCGGUGGAAGGCCAAGAAGCUGCACUGGUGGCAGCGGGUGAGGCCACGGCGCCGUUCAGGACAUGGAAAGGCAUUGCGGUAACAUGGUACUGGUAGAAUCUGUGUCUCUACUAUUUUGAAACAAAUUUUAAAUUGUAGAAGUUUGCUAUAAUUUAAGACGAAUGGAGUAGCUUAUUUGUAAUUUGUUUCACAGCUUAUUGCUCUAUAAGAAACAAUGCAAUAUAUUUUCAUUAGAAGCAAAUAUUCCUCUCUCAAUCCAGGGGUUAAAGUUAGUCCAUUCUCACAGCGUGGGAACCUAAAAGAAAUUCAUUGUCAUUACUAGACGAAGGGGUACAGCUUAAUCAUCAAAGCUAACAAUCCUAGUAUGUAAAUUUCAGCUAUCGCAUAAAUAAGAAAUAAUAUGUAGAUAGUAAAGGACAAGGGAAAUUUUGAGAACCGUACUUUACUAAAAAUCUUAUGUAUUGCGGUACAUGUGAGUUUAUCUUUUUUGGCAUCACGAAAAUAAUGUUUGAUAUCUAGGAACAGUAUAGUGCUCCGUUGAAUGCUAAAGAAUCAAUAACUUGUCUGAAUAAUUUACCCCUUACAGCUGAUGGUGUAUGUAGUCAUAGGCAUUUGCAUAUGUGCAUGAGUGCAUAUGUUGAAUGCCCAUAACUACUCUAAAUAGAUAAUUUGUUGUUGAAUAUUGCUGUGACGGUUUGUAAGAUGUUUGCAUUUGACAGGGCUCCCAGGUGUUCUAUUUGUGCUUCCUGAUUCCUAUGUUGAUGCCGAGAACAAGGACUAUGGUGGUAAGCUUUUUGUUACCUACCUCUCUAUAUCAUUUUUUUUCUUGUGUAAAAUGCAGUUGAUUUUACCCUGGCUGCCAUGUUAAUGGAUAUCCUUCAUGGAAAGCUGGUUGUUUUUAUCUUGGUCUUGUCCGCUUUCUGUUCCAGGUUUAUUGCACCCAGAAUCCAUUCAUCUUUAACUGUUUGUGCUUACUUGUACUACCAUAGUUGAUCUAUCCAGACCUGAAAUAUACACUGACAUUCUGCAUAGUUGAUUGUCUUCAGGAAUUAUUCCUCCAAUAUGCACAACUUUGUCUGGGUUCUCAUGUCAUUGUCGUUCUUUGCAGCUGAGUUGUUUGUAAACGGAGAAAUUGUUCAAAGAUCACCAGAAAGGCGGAGAAGGGUGGAGCCAGUUCCUCAGAGAGCACAAGAUAGACCCCGGUACAGUGACCGAACUCGCUAUGUGAAGCGGAGGGAGAAUCAGGCGUACCAGCGGUGAAGACUCACCAUACCUGCAACCGGCUAGAUGCAUCGACUCCUGCGUUUAGAACAGCAGCUCCCGCACGAGAAAUGGCUUAGAUUUUUUGUAUGCUGCCGCUGUGUAAUCUGGCAAUGUUUUAUGCAUCUGGGCAUGUAUGUCUUGUCUACUUCAAUAGACUAAUCUAUUGAACUGUGGCAUAUGAAUUUGAAGCCCCACUUUUUUUGCCAUAUUUGUCACAUCUGUUCACGCUGGAUUUAAAGUUUGCAUGUUAAAUUAAAGUUGUUUAAAAUUUUAUAUUUUAUUUAAAUAGAAAUAAAAUGAUUUAUUCAAAUGUUAUCGAUGUAAUCGUAAAUUCAGAUCGAUGAAUUUACGAAGCUAUAAAUACUGAACUAUAAGAAACUCUUAGAUUUAAAAUUGUAUUCUUUCGUUCUAGAAUAAGUUAACCUAUUACUAGAUGCGGAUAUCCUAAUACUAUAGAUCUGGAUAAGUAUCUAUGAUUCUAUGUAAAUUAAUGGUAUUAGGAUGAUAAACUUAUUUUGGUGGAUAUGUAUCUAGGUAAAUUAAUGUUAUUAGGGUGAUUAACUUAUUUUGGGAUGGACGAGGAAGUAGUAAAGAAAGCUUCAGUUUGUUCUUGCCAAUGCCAACGGCGACGAGAAUCGCCUACCGUGCAAAUGCAAUCUGGGACGCCAAGUCAAUUUCGCGUUCUCUGGCCCUGUAUCAACGUGGAACGGUGGAAGCAAUCGGCGGACGCCACGGUGGCCAUCACCCGUGAAUCGUCGUGAUAUGCCGCGAGCUCAACGUGUGGUGGAGGCGGGAAACUUAUCCUGCUUUUGCCUUGCCCCCGUGUCUUCGCCACGCCAGCCGCCCCCCGCCUGCCGACGAGGCCGCGGCCGCUGCUCAGUUCAGGCUCAGCUCGAGGGGAUCGUGCGGUUGGUUGCGCGAAGCGGCGGCGAGAAAUGGCGGGCGCGAGCUUCCUCUCGACCGUGCGGCAGCCUCCCGCGCCGCCGCCGCCGCUGCUCGCCCCACGCGGCUCCGCUUCCUCCGUCUCGUCUCCCGCGCGACGGCACGCCCACGUAUGUGCCCUGGAACUCGCGGGUGUAGUUUUGGUUUGGGCUAAAAAUGCCGUGUGAUUUGUGUAAUCCUUGGGAUUUUUUUUUCCGUGUAGAUUCUGGUGUGCUGCCAUGCUACCGCGCAGGAAGAGCCUGUGCGAUUCCGUAGAAGGGAUUUAAUCGGCGGCUGCUUGACUACUGCCAUUGGCUUGGUGCGUACCACUAUUCUUCGUCCCUUUUGUUUGCGUGAUCAGUGUAGUGUAGUCUUCUUAUACUUUAUUGGAGUAAGAAAGUGAAUGAAAUGUAGUAUGGUGGGGGUAAAGAAUAUUAACCUGCAGUUAGUGCUUUUCCUUUUCCAUGUUUAGUGUUGUUUUCAGAGGCGAUAGGCUUAACUACUUCAUGUCUUUUGAUUAGG
rnacentral:lncRNA from 1 species